rnacentral:lncRNA from 1 species
UAUGUGCAUUAAAUGAACACUUUUGAUGGCCUGGCUACAAGAACCAGGCUGGUCGGAAAUUAAGCCAUACGCGUCCAUCAGCCACCGACAAGUAACGGCAUGACCACU